rnacentral:lncRNA from 1 species
GAAACAGGAAGCAGCUUUUUGUGCUGCUUCAAGAGUCCUUCCUCUAAGGCCCGGGGCCUGAAGGCAGUUUACAAAGGAGGACAGCUGAGAUUCAGAGAGGUUUACUAACUUGCUGAAGAUUACACAGCUCCAAAAUGGUAGAGGAAGGACUCAACUUGAAGGCCUCAGGAUCCUAAUGUCUCAGCCUUCUGGUGAACACAAGCCCAUCAGAACAGAGCUGGGCCUUCACUAGUCUGGACGAUCAGCUGCUCAGAGCCUUGCAUACAGUGGGAGGCUGAGGAAUGUUCUUUCUAGAAGAAUAGGUGCUCCAGGCUGACUCCAUACCUCCCACUGAAUGACAAUUGUUCUAAAGGUAGACAUUCUUAUUUCAUCAUCAAGAAAAGCACUCUGUAGUGAACAAGGGCACUCACGCAAUUGGAUUCAUGGAGAGAUGUUUGUUUUUCUCCCACUUGUUUACUGUUGCUGGUGUUAGAUCAAGUCUGGCCUUUACUAUUCCAUUAAAAAAUGACCAUUUGUGAUUAGAUAUUUACAAAAAUAUAUUCAGAAUGAUAUAUUUCAGAUAUUACAUUUUUUCUAACAGUUCGUUUUAGUUUUGAAUAGAAGCCUUAAAAUACUUGGCCAGGUGCGGUGGCUCACGCCUGUAAUCCCAGCACUUUGGGAGGCCGAGGCAGGCGGAUCAUGAGGUCAGGAGAUCAAGACCAUCCUGGCUAACACGGUGAAACCCUGUCUCUACUAAAAAUACAAAAAAUUAGUCGAGCGUGAUGGCGAGUGCCUGCAGUCCCAGCUACUCGGGAGGCUGAGGCAGGAGAAUGGCAUGAACCCGGGAGGAGGAGGCUGCAGUGAGGCGAGAUCGCACCACAGCACUCCAGCCUGGGUGACACAGUGAGACUCCAUUUCAUAAAUAAAUAAAUAAAUAAAUAAUUGGAAAAGUAAGAGUUAAAAAUAAAUCAUGGAAAAUCA